rnacentral:rRNA from 1 species
AUUGAACGCUGGCGGCAGGCCUAACACAUGCAAGUCGAGCGGCGCGGCAGCCGGGUGAGUAAUGCCUAGGAAUCUGCCUGGUAGUGGGGGAUAACGUCCGGAAACGGGCUCUAAUACCACAUCCUAUCAGAUUAGCCUAGGUCGGAUUAGCUAGUUGGUGGGGUAAAGGCCUACCAAGGCGACGACCCGUAACUGGUCUGAGAGGAUGAUCAGUCACACUGGAACUGAGACACGGCCCAGACUCCUACGGGAGGCAGCAGUGGGGAAUAUUGGACAAUGGGCGAAAGCCGGAUGCAGCCAUGCCGCGUGUGUGAAGAAGGUCUUCGGAUUGUAAAGCACUUUAAGUUGGGAGGCGUUACCAACAGAAUAAGCACCGGCUAACUUCGUGCCAGCAGCCGCGGUAAUAC